CCAAUUAAAGAAAUUUUUAAAGAAAAG
rnacentral:tRNA from 1 species